rnacentral:rRNA from 1 species
GGAUGAACGCUGGCGGCGUGCUUAACACAUGCAAGUCGAACGGUGAAGCUCCAGCUUGCUGGAGUGGAUCAGUGGCGAACGGGUGAGUAACACGUGAGCAACCUGCCCCGAACUCUGGGAUAAGCGCUGGAAACGGCGUCUAAUACCGGAUACGCACCAGAGCGGCAUCGUUACUGGUGGGAAAGAUUUUUUGGUUCGGGAUGGGCUCGCGGCCUAUCAGCUUGUUGGUGAGGUAACGGCUCACCAAGGCGUCGACGGGUAGCCGGCCUGAGAGGGUGACCGGCCACACUGGGACUGAGACACGGCCCAGACUCCUACGGGAGGCAGCAGUGGGGAAUAUUGCACAAUGGGCGGAAGCCUGAUGCAGCAACGCCGCGUGAGGGACGACGGCCUUCGGGUUGUAAACCUCUUUUAGCAGGGAAGAAGCGAAAGUGACGGUACCUGCAGAAAAAGCGCCGGCUAACUACGUGCCAGCAGCCGCGGUAAUACGUAGGGCGCAAGCGUUAUCCGGAAUUAUUGGGCGUAAAGAGCUCGUAGGCGGUUUGUCGCGUCUGCUGUGAAAACCCGAGGCUCAACCUCGGGCCUGCAGUGGGUACGGGCAGACUAGAGUGCGAUAGGGGAGAUUGGAAUUCCUGGUGUAGCGGUGGAAUGCGCAGAUAUCAGGAGGAACACCGAUGGCGAAGGCAGAUCUCUGGGCCGUAACUGACGCUGAGGAGCGAAAGGGUGGGGAGCGAACAGGCUUAGAUACCCUGGUAGUCCACCCCGUAAACGUUGGGAACUAGUUGUGGGGGCCUUUCCACGGUCUCCGUGACGCAGCUAACG